UCUAGGGGGCGUAGCUAUACGUCACCGGCGGACGGGUGCGUAACACGUGGGAAUGUACCUAGUGGUUCGGAACAACGUAGGGAAACUUGCGCUAAUACCGGAUGAGCCCGUAAGGGGAAAGAUUUAUCGCCACUAGAUCAGCCCGCGUAGGAUUAGCUAGUUGGUAGGGUAACGGCCUACCAAGGCGACGAUCCUUAGCUGUUCUGAGAGGAAGAUCAGCCACACUGGGACUGAGACACGGCCCAGACUCCUACGGGAGGCAGCAGUUGGGAAUCUUGGACAAUGGGGGAAACCCUGAUCCAGCCAUGCCGCGUGAGUGAUGAAGGCCUUAGGGUUGUAAAGCUCUUUUACCCGGGAAGAUAAUGACUGUACCGGGAGAAUAAGCUCCGGCUAACUUCGUGCCAGCAGCCGCGGUAAUACGAAGGGGGCUAGCGUUGUUCGGAAUUACUGGGCGUAAAGCGUGCGCAGGCGGUCUCUCAAGUCAUGGGUGAAAGCCCAGAGCUCAACUCUGGAAAUGCCCUUGAAACUGUGAGGCUCGAGUGCGGGAGAGGUGAGUGGAAUUCCCAGUGUAGAGGUGGAAUUCGUAGAUAUUGGGAAGAACACCGGUGGCGAAGGCGGCUCACUGGCCCGUUUCUGACGCUCAUGCACGACAGCGUGGGGAUCAAACAGGAUUAGAUACCCUGGUAGUCCACGCCGUAAACUAUGGACGCUAGCCGUUGGGUAGCUUGCUAUUCAGUGGCGCAGCUAACGCAUUAAGCGUCCCGCCUGGGGAGUAC
rnacentral:rRNA from 1 species